UACAGAGGGUGCGAGCGUUGUUCGGAAUUAUUGGGCGUAAAGGGCGCGUAGGCGGUGCGGUAAGUCACCUGUGAAAUCUCCUGGCUCAACUGGGAGCUUGCAGGCGAAACUGCCGCGCUGGAGUGUGGGAGAGGUGCGUGGAAUUCCUGGUGUAGCGGUGAAAUGCGUAGGAUAUCAGGAGGAACACCUGUGGCGAAAGCGGCGCACUGGACCACAACUGACGCUGAGGCGCGAAAGCUAGGGGAGCAAACAGG
rnacentral:rRNA from 1 species